ACAGGCAGUUUUCUUUCUGCACAACAACACGGCUGAAGGACGGCUUGGUGGAGGCAGACUCCGUUUCCUAAGGGCUUAUCCCAAGUUAGAGUUCAGAGGGAAGGGAAUAGAACGCGACUUGUCCACCAAACAAAAUAUGCGUGUUACUACAGUUGUAUGUAGUGGUCAGGCAAAAAGAAAAUCAGAACUUCCAAAGCUGGAGUGUCAGGUGGUUGUGAACUACUCAACCUGGUUCCUGGGAACCAAACUCAGGUCCUCCGCCAAAGGAGCACAUGCACUUAGCCACUGAGUCAUCUCUGAAGUCCCAGAAACCUCUGAAUGCCCAGGUGACAAGACCAAGGCUGAGAGACUAGGAAAGGGCUAAGAAUCUGAGUCACUGGCUGAGCAAACUACAGGUCAAUGGUGGACCUUCUCAAAAGCAAUACAUAAAUGAUCGAGGAACAAAAGCAUCACAUCAUCAACUUUUGCCCUCCACAACUGCCUACAGAGUAUAGAGAUUAAGUUCUUCACAACUCCUCACCUGCCUAGUUGAUCAGCCCAGCCAUUCUUUCCAUUUAUCUUCUGCAAUCAAGAGAAACUCUUCUGGACAAAAAGAUGUCCUCUGCAGAUGGCACCAGUCAAAAGAACCCAGUAAACACCAAACCUUGGUCUGCAGGUAAGGGGCCACUGUCAAUGGCCUGAUUACUCUGAUUGGUAGCCAAUGGUCAUCAAACCCUUGGUUUGGCUCUCUCCUCUGGGCGAGACAUUCUUGCCUACCACAGACUGCUUUAUUACAUCACCAUGAUCGAAUCACCAUGCUUCAGGAUAAUGUCGAUAGAACAAAGUCAGUGCCUCCUUCUGCUGCUAAGUUAAGAAUCCCCUUGGCCAUCAAGUAUGCUUCCCCAAACUAUUUCCAAAGACGUUUGAAAAUAUGGAGAAAGUUUCAGAAAGCUCCAUCAUUACUAUGAGCCUCAGUCCCCAAUCUCUGUCUUAAGAUGCUGCUUGGAUGUUGUUGGAUCCUGCACUGGAAUGUACUAGAAGACAUCAGGAUGUCCCCAGAUGUGGUGUCAUUUCCAACUUGAGAGCAAUGGAGCUAUUUUUGAAUGCUGUUAGUGCCAAGACCUACACCUUCGUGACUAGUGUCCUCACAUUAACCCAAAUCGUUAAUCCACUUCUGAGAAGUUCUAGUGGCCCAAAAGUAAACCUACACAGACUAUUACAUUCAUAUUCUUACAUAAGGUGAACCAGAAGUAGACUCUAGUCAAAAGCGAAGAAAGUUAUACAAUGCUUAUUUGGUCCCCUACACAUAAAAGACUUGAAAAUUUGAGGGUUGAGGAAAUUGCCUGUUUUCAUUAUAUUUAUAUAUAAGAACCAAUCAGCAAUAUCUUUAAAAAGAAAGGAGCCGGGCGGUAGUGGAGCACGCCUUUAAUCCCAGCACUUGGGAGGUAGAGGCAGACAGAUUCUGAGUUCGAGGUCAGCCUGGUCUACAAAGUGAGUUCCAGGACAGCCAGGGCUAUACAGAAAAACCCUGUCUCAAAAAAAAAA
rnacentral:lncRNA from 1 species